UUUUUAACGAGACAAUGCUUCUAUUCACACAGCCGCCACUACAAAAAAAAGGUGGUUCCAUGAUUUUGGCCAGCAGUGGAUUUUGAUCUGAACUCGAUCGAGAACCCUAUCGUUUCAUUUUGAAAUGCGAAUACAUUUUCGAAUAGGAUUUUGGGUUAUGGCGAUGAAACUUGAAACUUAUAUGCAAUGUUUAUUGAUUAGUCGCAGGAUUUAUACGUUAUAUGUAAUAGACUGGGUUUUCUUUGGAAAUGCCUAUAGACAGUGCGGUUUCGAGCACGCUUAUACAUAUGUAUAUGUCGGACUGUGAUUAGUGUCUUUACAGUUAACAUUACAGUUACGUUACGGUUACGUUACAGUGUCAUUACGAGAACAAAAGCAAUGAAUUUGAAAUAAGAGCGAUGGAAAGCAAAGCUAAAAACAUUCUGUCUGCCGAAAUUGAUAUAAAUAUAUCUACAUUGUGCUACAGUAAAAAAGUUAGUCUCUGUAUAAGGGUCUAUUUUUGCCAAUGUUAGCUGCAGAGACCAUAAGUGUUCAUCGACGACGAAUAUUCUAACUUCUAUGACUUCUUGAAAUUUUGUGUGAAGUGGAAUAAAAAGAUGAUAAUUUUACAGAGAGAUAAAUAGGAAAGGUAUAACAAGAGUUUAGAGGAUUGUAAUAUUCACCAAGAGUUCCAGUUUCCAUUUUCAUGUAGAAAAUAUUAUGCAGCUAAGAUACGAAUUGUAUCACUUUCAUUUCUCUAUUUUCUCGAAAUUGUAAAAUUAAAAUUGAUCGGAGAAUAUAAAUUAUUAGGACAUGCUCUGUAAAAAAAAAAAAACAA
rnacentral:misc_RNA from 1 species